UAUAUGGAAGUUCCUGGGCUAGCGAUCGAAUCUGAGCUACAGCUGCCUGGCAAUGCCACAGCCAUAGCAACGCAGGAUCUGAGCCACCUCUGAGACCUACACCACAGCUCAUGACAAUGCCAGAUCCCUGACCCACUGAGUGAAGGCAGGGCUUGAACCUGUAUCCUCAUGGAUACUAGUUGGAUUCUUUUCCACUGUGCCACAAAGGGAACUCCCUGAAUAAAGCUUGUCUUUUAUUCUAGGUGUAGAGAUUGUGCUUGUCAGAUAUUUGAUUUGGUAGAGUAACAUGCUUACAAAACCUUUUUAUACAAAAGUAAUUAAGGUGUCUACCACAAAAUCAGCUGUCCUCAGGAAUGUUGAGAGUAAAAUAGAGGACCUUAAUAAUUAACCAUCUCCGAGCCAACAAACAUCUAAGAAUCCUUAAGAUUUCACCUGGGAGGACAUUUUGGGGAUGAUUAGGUUAAAUUAUUAGAAAGAUGCUUUACUAUAAAUCAAAACAUACCACUUACUUCUGAAAUACAUUUUUUUAAAAAAGGCCUAGUGAUCUGUUGGACAAAGCUGAAAUGAGGCUGUAAUAUAAACAGUGGCCCUGAAGUUAUUUCAAAAUCGCAAGGCUAUAUGCCUGGAGUCCUUUCAUAGAAUGGUAGAAUUCCCUUUGGGGGAAUUUUAUGUACAUCAUACAUUUGGUAUAAAUGAAUUGACUAAAUAAUGAAUGUACCAAGGACCUUGUGAUGAGCUAUAAAUCUGAUUUAAAAUCCCUAAGUUGAGAAAAAAUCCUCAGAUUCUAUUUGGAAAUCAACAACCCUUAGGGAGUUGAGUCAAAUUCUGUUAGGUUAGAUCUAUAGUUGCUUUGAGUGUGAAAACACAAUUUUUCAAAUUUAAAUAAAUUUGGGAGUUCCUCUGUGGCUCAGCAGGUUAAGAACCCAGCAUUUUCAUUGCUGUGGCUUGGGGUCACUGCUAGGGCGGGUACAGUCCCUAGCCUGGGAACUUCCAUAUGCCACAGGCACGGCCAAAGGGAAAAAAGGAUUGAAAUAAACUAUUUUGGAAGAGUGUGAAAUACAAAGAAAUGUUGUAGAAAUAGUAGAAUUCCUGCCCGAUUUCCCUGUUGUUUACAUCUUACAUUGCUAUAUUUGUCACAACUAAUGUAAGUAACCAUUAACUAAAUUCCAUACUUCUUUCAGAUUUUUAGCCUUUUCCCUUUUUCUUUCAUUCCAGUAUGCCAAGUUACGUUUGGUCAUUGUGUCUGCUUAACCUCAGUUUUUUUUGAUUUUUGAUGACCCUGACAGUUUUAAGGAGCACUGGUCAGGUAUUUCAUUGGUGUCCCUCGUUGGAGUUUUCCAAGGUUUCUGUCAUGGUUAGACUGGGCUUACUGUUUUGGGGGGGAGGAAGAACACUAGGUGUCAUUCUCACUCUGUUCAUCUCAUCAAGGAUUUAUGUUAACAUGCCUCACCACUGACCAUGUGGGUUUUGAUCACCUGGCCAAAAUAGUGUUUCCUAGGGUACUCUAAAGUUCCUUUUUUCGGAGUUCCUGUCGUGGUUCAGUGGUUAAUGAAUCCAACUAGAAACCAUGAGGGAAAGGAAAAAGGAAAGGAAAAAGGAAAGGAAAGGAAAGGAAAAAGGAAAGGAAAGGGGAAAGGAAAGGAAAGGAAAAAGGAAAGGAAAGGAAAAAGGAAAGGAAAAAGGAAAGGAAAGGAAAGGAAAAAGGAAAGGAAAAAGGAAAGGAAAGGAAAGGAAAAAGGAAAGGAAAGGGGAAAGGAAAGGAAAGGAAAGGGGAAAGAAAAGGAAAAGGGAAAGGAAAGGAAAAGGGAAAGGAAAGGAAAGGAAAAAGGAAAGGAAAGGAAAGGAAAAAGGAAAGGAAAGGAAAAGAAAGAAAGAAAAGAAAGAAAGAAAAGAAAGAAAAAAUCCUUUGGCCAUAUAUGUGAGUUUAUUUUUAUGUUCCUAAUUCUAGUCAAUUGGUCAAUGUGUAUUUAUGCUAGUACCAUACUAUUUAGAUCACUGUUGCCUUUUUUUUUUUGGCUUGUUUUUUCAUUACCUUCACCUGUUUCUUUUUCUUUACCUUUUUUCUUUUUUGGCCACCCUGAGGCUUAUGGAGUUCCCUGGCCAGGGAUCAGAUCUGAGCUACAGUUUCAACCUGUGCCAUAGCUAUGGCAAUGCCAGAUCCUUUAACCCACUGUGCUGGGCCUGGGAUCGAACCUGUAUCCUGGUGCUUCAGAGACACUGCAGAUUACGUUGUGCCACAGCGGUAACUCUGAUCACUGUAGCUUUGUAAUAGGUUUUGAAAUCAGAAUAGACAUUCAACUUUGUUCUUUUUCAAGUUUCAGCUAUUUAGGCAUCCCUUUUAAGUUCCACAUGAAUGCUUCUACUUAGGCACAAUAUAUUGGGAUUUCUGAUAGAGAUUACAUUGAUUCUGUAGAUGAUUUUUGGUAGUAGUGACUUUUUUUUUUUUUUUUUUUUUUUUUUUUGUCUUUUGUCUUUAUAGGGCCGCACCCUUGGCAUAUGGAGGUUCUCAGGCUAGGGGUCUAAUUGGAGCUGUAGCCAUCGGCCUACGCCAGGGCCACAGCAGCAUGGGAUCCGAGCUGCGUCUGAGACCUACACCAUAGCUCACGGCAAUGCCGGAUCCUUAACCCACUGAACAAGGCCAGGGAUUGAACCCGCAACCUCAUGGUUCCUAGUCUGAUUCGUUUCCGUUGAGACACAAUGGGAACUCUGUAGUGACCUUUUAAAGGUAAUAAUAAGUCUAACAAUUCAUGAAGUGUCUUUCCAUGUAUUGGUAUCUUUAGUUUCUUUUGGCAGUGUUUCAUCAUUUUCAGUGUACAAAUCUUUUGCUUCUGUGGUUACGUUUAUUCCUAAGUAUGUUAUUCUUGGUGAUGCAAUUUUAAAUGGUGGAAAGCACGAUUUUUAAGGAUGAAAGGCUUAACAUUAAGUCAAGGUAUUCACGACUUGGUCUCCUUGCUUUUGUGGACAGCUGCACUAAUAACAGAUCUUUGGAACUCUGGUUUUAAAAGAAAAAAAUGGCAAAUAGCUUGUGUGCACCUCAAAAAUCAAAUCUCAAGUGGCUAAGUAGUUACUCCUCCUUACAUUCCAUGUGCAGAGCAGC
rnacentral:lncRNA from 1 species